rnacentral:rRNA from 1 species
UCGACUGUUUAUCAAAAACAUAUUUAAUAGAUUUUAUUAUUAAUAAUACCUGCUCAAUGAAUAUUAAAUAGCCGCAGUUCAUACUGUGCUAAGGUAGCAUAAUCAUUUGUCUUUUAAUUAAAGACUAGAAUGAAAGGUUUAACUUUUAAGUUAUUACAAUAAUUAUCCAUUUUUAAUUUAUUUUAAAUGUAAAAAAACAUUUAUAUAAAGAAAGACGACAAGACCCUAUCGAACUUUACUUUAGUUAAACUGGGGCAGUUAAUUAAUAAUUAUUUUAAUAUUUUUCUUUUUCAAAAAUGACCCGACCCAAUCGAUUAAUUGAUCAAGUUACCGUAGGGAUAACAGCGUAAUAGUUUUCUAUAGAUCUUAUAUAAAAAAACGAUUGCGACCUCGAUGUUGAAUUAAUUACUCUAUAUAAUGCACCAAUUAUAAAAGAAAGUCUGUUCGACUUUUAAAUAAUUACAUGAUUUGAGUUCAGACCGGUGUAAACCAGGUCGGUUUCUAUCUU